GGGCCUAAUUGUCUAACGCAAACGAUUGAAUUUGACAGUUGAAAUCGUACGUUUUUACUUGUCAAACGGCUAUUUCGGAUUGUGUAAGCCAAUGGAAAGCCAUCGGUUGGGCAUAGUUAGUUCAUUACGAUUAGAUCGUUAUUUUUAUACGAAGAGUGAAUGAUUUGUUAAGAUUUGACAGUUAUUUGCGAUUGUCUUCGAAUUGUGUAAAGUUUUAUGUUCAUGGCUUAUGUCAAAAACUUACGAUGGGUCUUGAGUCACCUUUGAUCGUAAAACGGACAAAUUGUGGAUGUCCAAAAUUCCAAAAUAAUAAUUUAUAUUUUAUUAAAUAUCUAAAAUUAAUAUUUUUUCCAUUCUAAAUCUCUCAAUUCAGUCUCCCCGUCCACAGUUAGCAUUUUUAGGACGAAACUUUGCGAAGUGUUUUGUUUGUAAACAAUGAACUCUGUUAAAAAGAGUAUUAGAUAAUAUAUUCUUUGCAAUGAACCUAUAAAGUCAAAACAAUGAAGUUAAUUGAGUGCUAUUAAUCGAUUUUUUUUUUUUUUCUCUUCUUCACAAUAUUUUACAAUUCAUUUAACUUAAAGUAGGUAUUCAUUGUUAUUAUUAGUCAGUCACAAUUUUUAAAACAACACAUUACAUAAUUAUUCUGUUAGAUAAUCAUAAUCCAUGCAUUUUCAUAAUCAUAAAGAAUAUUUAAUUAAUUAAUUACAAUUUUAAAACAAUAAAUCUAAAAUUACACAUGUUUCCUAUUCUUAUUCCGUGCAUAUACCUAGUCAUUUAACAUAAUUAUAAUCCGAUCUAAUCAUUUAUUCUAAUGCAUACAUUUUUUAUCUAAAAUAUAUAAUUUAUUCAAUACAUUUAGUCAUUUAACAUACUUAAUCAUAAUCACACAUAGUCAUUUAAGUCAAAAAAAAUAUAUUUAAUACCGUUAUGAGUAAAUUUUCAUUUUGUCUUUUUGUUUUUUUUUUUAGCAAUUUAAUUUAUUAUUAUUAGAUUAUGUCAUAUUAUUGUAUUUUUUUUUUUUUUUCUUUCUUAUUCUUUAAUUUCCAAAAUUAUGUUAGGUUGAAGAUGAGAACCCUCUCGGGUGUAGGCCUCCUCCAAAACAGACCAUUUUUUUCUAUCUUUUGCAGACUCUUGCCAGUCUUUACCAGCGAUGGCUGCUAUAUCAUCAGCCCAUCUAGACACCGGUCUGCCGCUUCUCCUCUUGCCCUGCGGCCCUUUCCAUGUAGUAACCUUAUGAGUCCAUCUGUUAUCUUGUUGUCUAGCCACAUGUCCAGCCCACUUCCAUUUUAAUGAUUGUGCUUGUUUAAGAAAAUCUAGAGUUUUCGUUUCAGCUCUUAUGUCUGAUGCUUUGAUUUUUUGACAUUUUUUAAUGCAUAAGAGGCUGCGUUCCAUUGCUCGUUGGCACACUAUUAUUUUAGUUUUUACACUUUUUGUGAAAAUCCAUGUUUGUGCACCGUAUGUUAGGCAUGGGAGAACGCAGGAGUCCAUUGCUGUCUUUUUGAGGCUUACUGGCAGUUGGCUUUUAAAAAUUUCUUUCAGCGACCAGUAUCUGUUCCAAGCAAUUGUUAUUCUCCUGUUUACCUCCUCUACAUUAGAGUAUGGGUUAAAAGAUAUCUGCUUCCCAAGGUAAACAUACUUCUCUACAUAAUCUAAGAUUUUAUUGUCAAUAUAUAUGGGAAGGGUGUGAGCGUUUGUCAUUAGUUUUGUUUUCUCUUCAUUUAUAUCCAGCCCAACAUUUUGACUAGCCUUAUGUAGAGUUUCUAACAUGUAUUGCAUAUCUCUUCUAGUUUCUGCAAAGAGUAUCAGAUCAUCCGCGAAUCUUAAAUGUGUUAGGAGGGAACCAUUGAUUUUUAUGCCCUUAUUUUUCCAAUUAAGAUUUUCAAAUAUUGAUUCGAGUACUGCAAUGAAAAUUUUGGGAGAGAGUGGGUCUCCCUGUUUUGUGCCUCUGUUUAUAUAGAUUGGUGGUCCAACGCUCUCCAUCUUUACUCUGCUUUUACUUUUGUUGUAUAUAUAUUUAAUUAUAUUGAUAUAGUUUUCAUUUAUUUUGCAGUCUUUUAGAGCUUUCCAUAUACUGUCAUGGUAAAUAGUGUCAAAAGCUUUUUUGUAGUCUAUAAAUGCCACAUAGAGUGGCACUCUGUUCUCUUUAUAUUUUUCAAGUAUUUGCUCUACCGUAUGAAUGUGAUCCAUGGUGGAAAACCCUUUACGAAAACCAGCUUGUUCUUUUGGUUGUUUGGAAUCUAUUUGGGUGUUAAUUUGGUUAAGGAGACAAGUCGAAAAGAGUUUAUAUAAACAGCACAUCAAACUUAUUGGGCGGUAAUUCCUGAUAUCUUUCGGAUCUCCUUUUUUGUAUAAAAGAGUGAUAUGUGACUCUACCCAUUGAUAGGGAACGGUUUCCUCUUUUCUUAUUAAACUAAAAAGGUUAUGUAGAGGGCCUAAUAAAAGAUCAGCAGCAUAUUUAAUCGCUUCGUUUGGAAUGUUGUCUGGACCUGUACUCUUUUCGUUUUUCAUACGUUUGAUUGCGUUCAUUAUCUGAAGCUCAUUCCACUCUUCACUCACUAGUUUAUCAAACUCAUAUUGGUCAGUUUUUACAUAGGAAGUGAUUGUUCCGGACUUAUUACUAUAGAGAUCUUUAUAGAACUGAGACGCUGUCUCUAAAAUAGCUCUUCUGCUGUUUUGGAUCUUGUUUUUUGUCUUGCAAACAAGGCACCCAUGUUUUACUGAAUGUGAGCUCUUUAUUUGCCUGUUUCACACUACGUCUUUCUUUAAGAUUUUUUUCGAUUACUGAGUAUCGGUAACUUUUGUAAUCUUCUUUGAUUUUGUUAUUUAUUAUUCUAUAUAUUUUUGAGAGCUCUUUUUUUAUUUCUGGAGUUUUUGGGUGGGCAGUUUGGAGUUCCAGACGUCUUUCAAUUAAGCGUUUUGUCUCUACAGUUAUGAUAUUUUCAUUUAGUGUUCCUUUUCCAUGGGACUUGGACUUUUUUUGGCUUGAGUUUGUUAUGCCAUGUUUUAUGUACUUCUCUAUUUUAUCGUAGUAACUUUGAACAGUGUCUUCGUUUUCUAAUUUUAGGUCGAUAAUGUGCUCUAUGAGACAAUUUUUGUAUGCUUUUAUCUCAUGGUCUUGUUUCAGAAUCUUUUUAUUGCAGCAAAAUUGAACUCUGCUUUUCUUUUCUGUCUUGAGUAAAACUUUUGCCCGUACAAGUCUAUGAUCAGAAGGAAAGGCUACCCUGUUUAAGAUUUCAACGUCGAAGAUUAUUUUAGGUGUAUUUGUUAAGAUAAAAUCAAUUUCAUUCUUGGUUUUACCAUCCGGUGAGCACCAAGUCCAUCUUGAGUUAGAUCUCAUUUGGAAGAACGAAUUCAUUAUUGAUAUAUUAUGUUCCUGUGCAUAGCUUAUCAACAGCUCUCCCCUUUCAUUCCGUUCUCCUUGGCCAUAUUUACCUAAUAUUCGACUUUCUAGCUUUUUUGGUAUUCCGAUCUUUGAGUUAAAGUCUCCCAUUAUAAUGUAAUGCUUUCCAGCUUCAUUUUGGGCUUUUGUUAGGGUGUUAAAGAAACUUUCCACUUCUAGAUCAUUUGCGUCGGCUGUAGGUGCAUAUGUUUGUAUAAGAGAAAGUGUUUUAUUGUAGAGUAUUAAUUGAAGCAUUGCCACUCUAUCGGAAAAUCCAACAAAGCUAUGUAUAUUAGGUUUAUACUUCUUUUUUAUUAGAAAACCCACGCCGUGUAAGCCUUUAAUUUCACCUGAGUAACAUAAUAUGUGUUUAUCAUAUUCCUCUAUGUUGCAACCUUGCCUUCUGGUUUCUGAAAGUCCGAUGAUGUCGAAUUUAAUUUGAUCUGUAGCGUUUAAUAAUUCUAAUAACUUUUCUGUGGUUGAUAGAGUCCUAACGUUGUAUGUACAGAUGUAUAGAUAGUCAUUUGUUUUGAGUUUUGGAGGGUUUUGGUCUGUCUCUCCCGCGGUGACCAACCGUGGUGGGAGGGUUAGAGAGUUCUCUAUGCUUGAUUGCUAUUUUUUCUGAGUAUACUUUGAAUGAGAGGGGUUGACGUUACUGGAUUCUUUAGUUCUCAAAUAUUCAUGUAGAGAUACCCUAUUCUUUUUUGCUGACACAAAAGUUUUAUUUUCUUUAUCUUUUGAAGGUGGUGACUGAGAGAGAUUUCUUUUUCGGUUUGCGCUAGUGCUUCUUUGUGUGUGUUUCGAGUUUUCCUUGUCCAACACGAUGAGUUUAUCAUAUUUUAUGAUAGCCCUGUUACCAUUUUGUUUUUCCUUUUCUAAUUCUUUUUGCAAAAGUUUUCUUUUUUCCAGUACCUUAGGGGGGAAAUCUUCUUUUAGAUAAUAAUCCGUGUUGUGCAAGUUAUUUUUGUUUUUUAUUAUAAGAAUUUUUUUUCCGAGAGUUGUCAGAGUAACUAUUAUUGGGCGAACUUUACCUUCAACCCAUUUUCCCUUUCGGAACACACUUUCUAUUUCGUUCUUCUCGCAAUUUACCUUUAUUGUGUUAUUAAUAAUUUUUAAAAUAUUUUCUUCUAGCAUUGUAUAGCUUUUUUCGGUUUCUAUAUAAUAAUAAUAAUAAUAAUAAAAGGCUUUAUUAUUAUUAUUAUUAUUAUUAUUAUUAAUCGAUUUAUAUAGGAUGCUGAGACUUGGACUCUGAGAGAAAGAUAUUUGGAACAUGCCCUAUAACUGCAGACUCCAAUAUUGCAAAAAGCACCUGCAAUACAGUGGAAUAACAUAUUGGUGUGCUGAAGAAAAGAUGGCAAAGGCUUUUAGCUGAUAGGACAUUGUACUGAUGACCCUGUUAUCUGGUCAAAUCAUAAAUGUGUGUGUAUUAUCAAAAUAUUUGCAUAGAUUGUGAAAUGCUGAUGAUAUUUGAUUUGGUCUUUGAUAUUUGAAAAUAAAAGAAUACUUACUUCGCUGA